rnacentral:tRNA from 1 species
ACUAAUUUGGCAGAUAAGUGCGGUGGAUUUAGAAUCUAUUUAUGUGGUUAAGUACACAUUUAGUA